rnacentral:lncRNA from 1 species
UCUUCGAACAUCUUGCACUAAAGCUUCCGAUAUACCAACCAACACACAAGAAUCGGAUAAUACAGCAGCCGGAACGAUAAAAAAGUAAGUUGAAUAUUACGCCUUAUAAACACGGGUGGAAGUGGCACAGGCAAAUGAAACUUUAUGAAAACCAACGAAUCUGGUGGCCGGAACGAUAAAAAGCAAGUUGAAUAUUACGCCUUAUAAACACGGGUGGAAGUGGCACAGGCAAAUGAAACUUUAUGAAAACCAA